AGUCGCACCGAAGAACUCGGACCUAGAGUCAGAUAUUUGUUUUUUUUUUCUCUUGUUUACAUGAAAUUACUCUCUUGAUUACUUGAAUUUACAAGUACUCGCAGUUUGAACAGAGGAAUAUAUAUUAUCAUAAUUUGUGCAAAAAAAAAUAAGUUCAAGGAUUUGAAAACUGAACAGAUUGGGCUUUAAAUUGGUAUUUUUUAUUGAUUUUGAAGGAAAAUAGGCAGAUGGUCAAACACUAGACUUGAAUUUUGGCUGCCUUAUAAAAUAUUUGAGUAUAAUCAUCAUAUCUGAGGUCCUGAAUUGUACAAAUACUUAUUCUGUUGGAUUUCUUACAUUUGUAGUACCCAAAAACCUGAAAUGAGAGCGCUUAAGGACAAUGAGAUGUUUGAUGCAUAGAUGGAAAUUGGCUGCCUUUGUAUAUAUAAGUCUACAUCUUCCCAGAUUUGACCAAAGCGAUGCUGUGAAUGGUAAAUAAUGCUUUGUAGAUGUUUUAAAUAAAAAUUAGAUGUUUGGCUUCAGGACUUUAAGUCUCACACAAGUUGCUGGUUCAGUCGCAUGAAUGGUCAGUGGAAUUCACAAGAGUCACUGAAAAAAUUAGGAGAACCAGUUGAAGUUGCUCAGAGUUUCUAAAUGCAAAACCAGAACUUGUGGUGACCUCAAGGACAAAUGAUGAUUUGAAUAGAGCUAUAGAAUGGUUACUUUUUCGUUUGGAUUUGAAGGUAAUUAUGAAUCUGAAUUAGUAUUCUAAUAUUGUUAUUUUGUCCCCACCCCCCCUCGGUGGGUGAGACAUAUUGUUUUUUAGCUCACCUGUCACAUAAGUGACAAGGUGAGCUUUUGUGAUCACCCUUCGUCCGUCGUCAGUCCGUCCGUCCGUCAACAACUUCUGGUCUGCACAAUAGUGGUUUCAUUUAUGAUUUUUUUUUAACCAAACUUGCACACAACUUGUAUCACCAUAAGAUCUUGGUUCCUUUCUUGAAUUGGUCAGAUCCCAGUAUGGGUUCUAGAGUUAUGGCCCCUGAAAGGGCCAAAAUUAGCUAUUUUGACCUUGUCUGCACAAUAGCAGCUUUAUUUAUGUUGUGAUUAUUACCAAACUUGCACACAACUUGUAUCCCUAUAAGAUCUUGAUAUAAGAUUUUCUUAAACUGGCCAGAUUCCUUUAUGGGUUCCAGAGUUAUGGACCCUGAAAGGCCCAAAAUUAGCUAUUUUGACCUUGUCUGUACAAUAGCAGCUUUAUUUAUGAUUUGAAUUUAAU